rnacentral:sRNA from 1 species
GCGUCUUUAUCGCUUAAAUCCCCUACAUGGGGAUACGGGGGAACCAACCGCAGCCUAUGAUGGCUCCGUGGGGUGAAUCUCAAUCUGAGUAGGGCGACUCUCACGCCCGAAUCCGUCAGCUAACCUCGUAAGCGUAUCGAGAGAGGCAAC